rnacentral:rRNA from 1 species
CCCUUAGAUGUCCUGGGCUGCACGCGCGCUACACUGAUGUGUCCAGUAAGCACCUAACCUAUUCCGAGAGGAGCGGGUAACCUUAGCAAAGCACAUCGUGAUGGGGAUAGAUUAUUGCAAUUAUUAGUCUUGAACGAGGAAUUCCUAGUAAGCACAAGUCAUCAGCUUGUGUUGAUUACGUCCCUGCCCUUUGUACACACCGCCCGUCGCUCCUACCGAUUGAAUGUUCCGGUGAGCUCUUCGGACUGCGCGGUCUGCAGUUUCUGCGUUCCGUGCGGAAAGUUGUGCAAACCGUAACAUUUAGAGGAAGGAGAAGUCGUAACA